AUCCUCCGAAUUCAACAAUCAGCUGUAUUAAAUUUGUAGAACGCAACGGAAAUAUUCGUUCGUACCUUUUUGCGGAAGCGAUUUGCGUUACAACGCGAAGAGUUCGGAUCGUCGAGGUUUAUUCACGUGUCCUUUGAUCGUCCUUGAUUAAAUCUUCUCACGUUCCAAACUCGUGAUGGAUCGAACUACAAACGUGCACGAUCACAAAUUUACUGUUUAAGUCCCUCUUAGAAUAAUAGGUUGAUGGAGGAUGUGGUUUUUCUUUUUCGUUUUCUUAUUCUCUUUUCUUUUUUCGUUCUUGUUCACAUUUUAUUAUGUUGGAUCGCCCGCAUAUUUAUAAGGAAUUCCAAAAUCCUAAUAGUAUUAGAGAUAAGGUCAAAUCGGUUAUUAAUUGUUUUCCUAAUAUAACUAAGAUUUAUCUCUAACUAACUUUUCAAUUUGAAAGCGAGAUUAAUUCUAAUCCAAUUAGAUAACAUAACAACCGUCGGAUCGAACCCGCUUAUGGGCGUACCCGAUUUGAUUUAACCGAAUGCCAACAAAAUUUGAUCUAGAGUAUUUGAUAGUUAUAGGAUUCAAAUUUUUAAUUUUUUGAGAUCAUUUAUCAAGUGAUCAAAAUGGUUCGAAAUUGAUAAUUUUAAUGAUUAAGACGUGCGCGCGCACGAGCUGUUUGAAAGUUUAACAAUACAGAGAUAUAUCAAAAUCAGAUUAGU
rnacentral:lncRNA from 1 species